rnacentral:rRNA from 1 species
UAAGACGAACCGUGCGAACGUUGUUCGGAAUCACUGGGCUUAAAGGGCGCGUAGGCGGGCUAGCAAGUCCGGGGUGAAAUCUUUCGGCUCAACCGGAAAAGUGCCUUGGAUACUGCUGGUCUGGAGUGAGGUAGGGGCCGCGGGAACUUCCGGUGGAGCGGUGAAAUGCGUUGAUAUCGGAAGGAACGCCGGUGGCGAAAGCGCGCGGCUGGCCCUCAACUGACGCUGAGGCGCGAAAGCUAGGGGAGCAAACGGGAUUAGAUACCCCGGUAGUCCUAGCCCUAAACGAUGGGUACUAGGUAGUGGGCUUGACAUGGGCUCACUGCCGUAGCAAAAGUGUUAAGUACCCCGCCUGGGGAGUAUGGUCGCAAGGCUG